GGGUUAUGGGGGUAUAUGGGGCGGUUGUGGGGGGUUAUGGGGCGGUAUGGGGGGUGACGCGGGGAUGAGGGGUGGUUAUGGGGUCGGUUCCGUACCGGGUUCGGUUCGGGGUUCGGUCGGGGUUCGGUUCUGGUUCCGGUUCCGGGUUGGGUUCCGGUUCCGGGUUCGGUUUCGGUUGGUUUCCGGUUCCGUUCCGGGUUCGGUUUCGGGUUGGGUUCCGGUGCGGUUGGCGGUUGGGUUCCGCUUCCGGGUUGGGCUGGUGGUUCCGGUUCCGGGUUGGAUUCCAGUUGGUCGUUGUGUUCUGGUUGGGGGUUGGUUCCGGUUCCGGUUGGGGGUUGGGUUCCGGUUGGGGGUUGGGUUGGUGGUUCCGGUUCUGGGUUGGUGGAUCCGGGUUGGGGUUGUGUUCCGGUUCAGGGUUGGGUUGGUGCUUCCGGUUCCGGUUGGGGGGGGUUGUGUUCCGGUUCCGGGUUGGGGGUUGUGUUCCGGUUCAGGGUUGGGUUGGUGCUUCCGGUUCCGUUGGGGGUUGUGUUCCGGUUCCGGUUCGCGGUUUCCUCCCCCCCCCCCCCCCGCAGUUCUCGGCCGGUGGUGUCGCUGUGGGUUCGGCUGUCGCUGUCGGUUGAGCGCCUCCCGCGGUUCCGCGACCGCUGCGGGGGAAACGGCGGCGCUGUGGGGCUGCAGCUCUGCUUCCAACCGCGCCUCCGCAGCCCCACCUACACCGGUACUGCCCCAUAGCUGCCCCAUAGCGGCCCCACAGCUGCCCCAUAGAUACCCCAUAGCGGCCCCAUAGCUGCAGCUCUGCUUCCAACCGCGCCUCCGCAGCCACGCCUACACCGGUACUGCCCCAUAGCUGCCCCAUAGCUGCCCCAUAGGAACCCCAUAGAUACCCCAUAGAUACCCCAUAGCUGCCCCAUAGCUGCAGCUCUGCUUCCAACUGCGCCUCCGCAGCCACGCAUACACCGGUACUGCCCCAUAGCUGCCCCAUAGGGACCCCAUAGGAACCCCAUAGGGACCCCAUAGCGGCCCCAUAGCUGCCCCAUAGGGACCCCAUAGAUAUCCCAAAGCUGCCCCAUAGGGACCCCACAGCUGCCCCAUAGGGACCCCAUAGAUACCCCAUAGCUAGCCCAUAGAUACCCCAUAGCUGCCCUCUAGGCACCCCAUAUCUGCCCCAUAGUUGCCCCAUAGAGACCCCAUAGAUACCCCAUAGACAUGCCACAGGUGCCCCAUAGAGACCCCAUAACUGCCCCAUAGAUACCCCAUAAACACUCCACAUCUGCCCCAUAGAUACCCCAUAGCUUCCCCAUAGGGACCCCAUAGCUGCAGCUCUGCUUCCAAGCGCGCCUCCGCAGCCCCACAUACAGCGCUGGGCCGCCCCAUACACACCCCAUAA
rnacentral:lncRNA from 1 species